CUCCGGGAACAUGUAUUUUAACUAUCAGGUCUCUUGAGGCCAAUCUGAAUGAAUCAAAUCAGUGGAGGAUGCUCUCCCCUUCCGUCGACUUACCCAAAAAAAAAUAUCGAAAAGGAUACGAGUUCCUGCACCAUUCUGCUUGCAGUGAAGCCAUGAUUUUAGUUCUUUUUCCUAUCUAUAAAAGAGACCAUGCUGCAUCUGACCUGUGAGGGAAAACAUCACAUUUGGUCUCUUCAGUGUCACACAGAGCUUUCCACACCCUGGACCAGGAACUUGAAUUCUAUAGAAAAUGAAAGAUGGUGACUGAGGAUAUCUAUUCACGCCGUGCAGAUCAUAUUCUCCAUUUUCCCUCUAUAUUUCCCGAAAAUCUCAACGUGUGGCAAGUACAUCACACCUUCCUUUCGUUUCAUAUGUUUUUACAAGUACACACAUGCAUGUAUG
rnacentral:lncRNA from 1 species